UACGUAGGGUCCAAGCGUUAUCCGGAAUCACUGGGCGUAAAGCGUGCGUAGGCGGGUACUUAAGUGCGAUGCGAAAUCCUGUGGCUCAACCAUAUGGACUGUAUCGCAUACUGGGUACCUUGAGGACAUCAGAGGCAAAUGGAAUUACCAGUGUAGCAGUGAAAUGCGUAGAUAUCGGUAGGAACACCAAUGGCGAAGGCAGUUUGCUGGGAUGUAUCUGGCGCUAAGGCACGAAAGCGUGGGGAGCGAACAGG
rnacentral:rRNA from 1 species